rnacentral:sRNA from 1 species
GGCUUUACGCAGAAGUUGUGCUCCAAU